GCAGGAGGCUGUGGAUGUCCCGGAGCAGCUGAAGGUCCCACUGGGGCUAAAAAAGGAGCCUCUUCCCUCCUGCACACCCAAACCUGGAUGCUGAGACCUCAUGCAGCAUUCUUCAGAGAUGGGAGUGGGUUUGGAAGGAAUUGCCCCUGGAGCAAGCUGAUGUCCCAGAACUCUUCUGACCUGGAGCAGCUGUGGGAAGCCCUGCCAGAAGUGUCCAUCUGGAAACUCACUGAAGGAGGAGCAAGACCAUUGCAUCUUAUCCAAUGCAGCUGGGAAGACCCUGGCUGUAGAGGCUCAAGCUGUACCAUGUGCCACCAGGAUGUGAGCAGAGAUGGAGUAGCUGUGCCAACCCUUUGCAAGGGUGUCCUGCAGUGUUCAGGCCAAGAGGAGAAGGCUUCUUCUUGGGGGAAUGAGCAGAAGAAGGGGGAAAAAUCUCUUCUGGGAGGCUGCUGCUUGCUGCCAGCUGAGCUGAAAGGAGCCAGUAACGUGCUUUAUUCUGCUCAACAACCACCAUCCACC